AUAUUUAUAGUAAAUUUAUUAUAUUUGCCUUCCAAGCAAAAGUUCCAGUAGAUGGUAAAUAUU
rnacentral:tRNA from 1 species